rnacentral:rRNA from 1 species
GCUUGUCAAUAUGGUAAACAAACACGUAGCUCCUAUACAUCGUCUGAUAAUAGAAGUGACACGCCACUUCAAGUUAUACAUUCUGAUGUGUGGGGUCCUAGUGGAGUUUCAUCUUUAAAUGGAUAUCGCUCGUUUGUUACCUUUAUUGACUGUUGUACUAGAGUGACUUGGGUUUAUGUGUUGAAGAACAAGAACGAUGUGUUUGAAUGCUUUGUUGAUUUUCAUAAUAUGAUCAGAACGCAAUAUAAUGCUUGUGUGAAAACAUUUCGCACUGAUAAUGGCACAGAGUAUGUGAACAAGGAAUUUAAUGAGUACUUAUCCAGUUUUGGGAUUAUUCAUCACACAACUUGUCCAGGUACUUCAGAGCAGAAUGGUUUGGCAGAAAGGAAGAAUAGACAUCUUCUGGAAAUCACUCGUUGCAUAAUGAUAUCUAUGAAUGUUCCUAAGUUUUUGUGGGGUGAAGCUGUAAUGACAGCUGCUUACUUGAUGAAUAGAAUGCCAUCCAGGGUACUUGGUUAUAAAACACCGUUAGAGUGUCUAACGGGUGAAACAAAAUAUGUGGUUCCACCUAAGGUCUUUGGGUGUGUUUGUUUUGUGAAGGAUUACAGACCAUCUGUUGGCAAGCUAGAUCCAAAGGCGUUAAAGUGUGUAUUCGUGGGGUACUCUGGUAAGCAGAAGGGAUAUAAAUGUUGGUGUCCAUCUGAAAGGAGAAUGUUUGUGAGUAUGGAUGUGGUAUUUAGGGAGCAGGAACCAUUCUAUGGUGAACCGACGGAUUUAACUGAUGUCUUCCCUGAUUUGUUUGCUAAUGAAAAUUUAGAUGCAGAUUGUGAGACAGGGGGAGAUAAGGAAGAGGAAGAUGAUGCAACAUCAAGAAAGAUGAUAGUUGGGGUAAUUCCAGUGGAAA